rnacentral:tRNA from 1 species
CUUAGAGAAAGGUAAUACUAAAAAAUGCUUUGUAGUUGUACACAAAGCUUCCGCUUACUUUCCUUCUUCUUUCCCACCUUUUUUAUAUUGUUGGUUUGUAGUAAGGGGAUAUAGCUCAGCUGGCUAGAGCGGCGGCUUUGCAAGCCGUAGGUCAGGGGUUCAAAUCCCCUUAUCUCCAAAAGCGCAGCGUAAAAUAUUUUUAUCGCCACGCACUGUUCUUUGAAAGAUGAGGGAAGGGAAAGAAAGACUACUUGAAGGUGAGUUUUCUUGAUAUUAAAGGGGAAAUGAGCUGGAGAGUAGGAAAAUAAGGUGAAGAGAAUAAGCUUAAGAUAGCUGUGGAAUUGAGUUUUUUCCGGUAAGGGGAAAGAUGAGAGGAAAGAGCUACGUUUAAGAAGAGAAAAUAAUAU